rnacentral:lncRNA from 1 species
AUUACCAGAAGAACCUAGAAGUACAACAGUCAAGAGUGGAAAUUUUUAAAGACGUCCCGAAAUAUCUUUUGGAUCUUAGGCCUAACUACGGAGAUAUUGUUGCCCUGCUGAGAAGGAACAAAAUCAUCUUUAGGUGGGAAUUCCCCCAAGGUCUAUCCUUCAGUUUCAAAGGAAGGAAAAUAAAAAUAAGAUCAGUAGAAGAUAAAGUUUUUGCAUAAAUACGAAGAAGAUCUGCAGAAGGGACUUGGAAAAGAGCCAGGAGCAUCGGACAGAAGAUCAUCAGAUAGAGGACUAGAGCAAAAAGCAUCGAAGAUCACCAAACAGGGGAAUAUUGGAUAUAUCAGCAUUAUCCUUUGGAUUGGAUCUCCCAGUGAACGUGUCACCACUACCACCAACAGAAGAAGAGCAAGCAUUGGGUGCAGUUGGAGGAAUAUCAGUGUAAUUACAUGAUGGCGUUGCAGGUUUUGAGCUGGAAUGUGAAUGGAUUAAAUUCCCCAGAAAAAAAGGCGGAGAGUCUUUCAUUUAUUGAAAAAAAGAACAUUUGGACUUGAUUUGUUUACAAGAAACACAUGUGAUAAGGCUACACAGGAAGAUAUUGAGUAAUAAAAGACUGGGCCAAGAAUUUAUCUCAUCAGAUAAAGUUAAAAAAAGAGGAGUGGUCCUUUAUGCAAAGGAGAGCCUAUCACCGAAAUUCAUAUUCAAAGAUGACCAAGGAAGAUUUGUUGCAAUUGAAAUUCAAUCACAAGGAGAGAAAUUUCUGAUUGUAGGUAUUUAUGCACCAAAUGAAGGAAAAUCGGAGUUCUUUUAAGAAGCUACACGAGACUCUGAUGGAUUAUAUGGACUAUAAUAUGAUCUUGAUGGGAGAUAUGAAUGGAGUGGUGUCUACAAAUAUGGACAAGGCACAGAGACAGGUAGUCACCAAAGAUGGUAGACUACCAAAAACCUUUUUUGACAUGACUGAAAAUAUGGACUUAGUUGACAUUUGGAGAAUGAAGAACCCUCUGGGAAGAGAGGGAAAUGACAUGGACAAGAAUUGACCAAAUCUGGGUAACUAGGAGAUUGGCUCUGAAGAUCAGUAAAGUGGAGAUUUGCCCCAAAACUUGUUCCGACCAUAAUGCUGUGAAGAUGGAAAUGAAAUUGACGCCAAUUGGUUCCUUUAGAUGGAGGAUGAACGACACUUUGUUCAGGAACGAAGAGGUGACCAAGAAGGCCCAAAAAACUCUAAGAGAUUAUUUCGAGAUAAACAUGAAUACUACAGUGGAAAAAAGAGUAAUUUGGGUUAUGAGAGGAUUCCUAAUACAAUUUGGGUUAUGAGAGGAUUCCUAAUACAACAGAAUGCAAUUAAGAAGAGAACUCAGAAUGAAAAAAAGGAUAAAAUCCUGGGGAAAAUAAAGGAAGGAGAGAAGAAAUUGAGAGCAAAACCAAAGUCACAGGAGAUCCUGAAAGAGAUAAAGUUAUACCAAGUACAAUAUACGAAGCUGAUGAAUCAGGAAAUAGAAUGGAAGAUUAAACAGAUGAGGCAAAAGACAUUUGAAUCGGCAAAUAAGUGUGGAAAAUUGUUGGCCUGGCAAAUGAAAAAAAGACAAAAACUCAAUACUAUUACGAAUUUGGAAGUGGAAGGAAAGAAUAUACAGAAUCCAGUGGAGAUCAGGAAGUGUUUUCAGAGGUAUUUCAAACAACUUUAUACACAGGAGAAGCAGAAAGAAAUGGACAUUGAUCGAUUUUUGAAAAUAAAUGGACUACACAAAAUCUCUCAGGAAAAACAGCUAAUGUUGAAUUACAAAAUAACGGAUCAGGAGGUGGAAGGGGCCAUCCAGAACAUGCAAUUAGGUGAAUCUCCAGGACCAGUUGGUUUGACUUCAAGAUAUUACAGAUCUUUGAAAGAAUGGUUAAUACAACCAUUGAAGGAAGUCUGCAAUGAAAUAUUGGAAGGGAGAAAGGCACCAGAGUCGUGGAAGGAAGCUUACAUUACACUUAUACCGAAAACAGAGACUGAAAAGACACAGCUCAAGAACUACCGCCCUAUAUCGCUGCUUAAUGUGGAUUACAAAAUUUUUGCAGAUAUUUUGGCUAAAAGAUUAAAAAAGGUAUUAGUAGAAGAAAUUCAUAAAGACCAAGCGGGCUUCCUCCCGGGCAGACAUUUGUCUGACAACAUGAGAAAUAUAAUUAAUAUUCUAGAAAAAUUACAAGUGAAUAUUAAUACUAAGGCAGUCUUGAUAUUUGUGGAUGCAGAGAAAGCCUUUGACAACAUUUCUUGGAGUUUUAUGAAGAAGAAUCUACAGGGAAUGGGGGUAGGUCAAGGUUUUGAAAAUGGUAUAGGUGCAAUUUAUUCAGAACAAAAGGCAAAAUUAAUUGUGAACAAUGUAGUGACAGAAGAGUUUAAGAUUGAGAAAGGGACACGACAAGGUUGCCCAAUUUCUCCAUUGCUUUUUAUAUCGGUCCUUGAGGUUUUGUUAAAUAUGAUUAGAAAGGACCAAGAGGUUAAAGGUAUACAAGUGGGAGCUAAACAGUACAAAUUGAAAGCAUUUGCUGAUGACUUAGUAUUGACUUUACAGGAGCCAGAAUCUAGUACCAAAAGGGUAUUGGAACUGAUUCAAGAAUUCGGACAGGUAGCAGGUUUUAAGUUGAACAAGAUGAAAACUAAGGUUUUAGAGAAAAACUUAACUGUGAAUGAGAGAGAGAAGUUUCAGGAGGAGACAGGACUAACAUUGGUUAAGAAAAUGAAAUAUUUAGGGGUUAACAUGACUGUCAAAAAUGUGAAUUUAUUUAAGGAUAAUUAUGAAAAAUGUUGGAUUGAAGUGAAAAAGGAUUUAGAAAUAUGGACAAAUUUGAAGUUAUCAUUGUUAGGCCGAAUUGCUGUGAUAAAAAUGAAUGUGUUGCCAAGGAUGUUGUUUUUGUUUCAAACAUUGCAAAUUUUGGAUAAGAUGGAUUGUUUCAAGAUGUGGCAGAAAGAUAUUUCCAGAUUUGUUUGGCAGGGCAAGAAGCCUCGAAUAAAAUUUAAGAUAUUAACUGAUGCCAAAGAAAGAGUUGGAUUUGCCCUGCCAGAUCUUAAACUUUAUUAUGAAUCAGCUGCUUUUUGCUGGCUGAGAGAAUGGCUGCUUCUUGAAAACACUGACGUGUUGGAUUUAGAAGGUUUCAAUAAUGUAUUUGGCUGGCAUGCAUAUUUGUGGUACGAUAAGGUAAAAGCACAUAAAGCGUUUAAAAAUCAUAUUGUUAGAAAAGCAUUGUUUAAUGUUUGGAUAAGAUAUAAGGAUAUGUUAGAAAAGAAAACCCCAAGAUGGUUGUCACCAAUGGAAGCGAAGGCACAGAAAAACUCAAUAUGGAGGCCAAAUGGCCGAAAUAUUGGGAAAUUCUGGAUCAAGAUGGAGACAGAAUAAAAUUGCAGAGCUUUGAAAAAUAGAAAAAUAAAGUGCGAGAUUGGCUCCAUUAUUACCAAAUAAUGGAGGCAUACAAUUUGGACAAAAAAGUUGGUUUCCAGGUGGAAAAAUCAAAAUUGGAAACAGAAUUGUUAGAUCCAAAAAUUAAGAAUUUGUCAAGAAUGUAUAACUUGCUGUUGAAAUGGAACACUCAGGAUGAAAUGGUGAAUCAGCUAUGAUUAAAUGGGCACAAGAUGUUGGACAUAACAUAAUGAUGGCCGACUGGGAACAGUUAUGGACCACAGGUAUGAAAUUCACGGCAUGUAAUGCCCUAAGAGAAAAUUUAAUGAAAAUGAUUUAUAGGUGGUACAUGACACCAGUCAAGCUUGCAAAAAUUUACCAUUUGCCCGACAAUAAAUGUUGGAAAUGUAAUGAGACUGAAGGUACAUUCUUUCACCUUUGGUGGACAUGCCCAAGGAUUAAGACAUUCUGGGAGAUGAUUUAUAACGAAAUGAAAAAGGUAUUCAAAUAUACCUUCCUGAAGAAAGCAGAGGCCUUUCUCCUGGGCAUGGUCGGCCAAUUGGUGCCAAAGAAGGAUAGAACUUUUUUUAUGUAUGCAACAACAGCAGCAAGAAUACUCAUCGCGAAGUAUUGGAAGACACAAGAUUUACCCACCCAGGAAGAAUGGCAGAUGAAGUUGAUGGACUAUAUGGAACUGGCGGAAAUGACUGGCAGAAUCCGAGACCAGGGAGAAGAGUCGGUGGAAGAAGACUGGAAAAAGUUUAAAGACUAUUUACAGAAAUACUGUAAAAUUAAUGAAUGUUAGAAAAAUGUUGGAAUGAAGUUAUAUGGCUUUAGUAGAAAUGUUAUAAGGAAUUAAGUAUAAAUAGAUUAAUAGAGAAUUAAAGGGAAAAAUAAGGUUAGAAUGUGUUAAGAUAAUUAUAGGAUAGAAAACAGAGGAAGAUGGAAAGGAAUUGCUGAAACAAUUAACAGAAGUGGAAUACAAAAAGGGAGGUGUGAGGAGGUUGUGGAAAUAAGUGAAUGAAAGAUAAGAUAUUGAAAUUGUUUGAUGUGUUUAACUGUUUUUGUUUUGUUUUGUUAGUUUAAUGUGUUAGUGUUAUGUAGUGUUUUUGUAUUGUAUUGUAUUGUUUUUGUAGUGUUUAAAUUGUUGGAAAAGUAAUAAAUAUUUUUUUUUUAAAAAAAGAAGAUUGGAAGACGGGAUUUGUAAAGGAUAACAGCAAAGAGACAGAAAGAUGGGACAUGUGAACAUCAAAGCAGCAGAAAUAUGAGAUGAUUGGACCCUUUCCUAACUCGAAGCAUGGAUACCCCCAACAAAAAUUUAAAAUUCAGCUAAAUAUUUGGAGUUUAUUAUGUAUUGGUAUAAUUUGGAAUUAAUGUAAUUUGGAAUUAAUGUGAUUGGUUUGUUAAUUGGAAAUUUAAUAAAAAUUAUUUAAAAAAAAGAAAGAAAAA